rnacentral:rRNA from 1 species
AACGAACGCUGGCGGCAUGCCUAACACAUGCAAGUCGAACGAGACCUCCGGGUCUAGUGGCGCACGGGUGCGUAACGCGUGGGAACCUGCCCGUAGGUUCGGAAUAACUCCCCGUAAGGGGUGCUAAUACCGGAUAAUGUCUUCGGACAAAAGAUUUAUCGCCUUUGGAUGGGCCCGCGUUGGAUUAGCCAGUUGGUAGGGUAAAAGCCUACCAAGGCGACGAUCCAUAGCUGGUCUGAGAGGAUGAUCAGCCACACUGGGACUAAGACACGGCCCAGACUCCUACGGGAGGCAGCAGUGGGGAAUAUUGGACAAUGGGCGAAGGCCUGAUCCAGCAAUGCCGCGUGAGUGAUGAAGGCCUUAGGGUUGUGAAGCUCUUUUACCCGGGGUGAUAAUGACGGUACCGGGAGAAUAAGCACCGGCUAACUCCGUG